CCUUUAUGCGAAAACCAAAAAAAAAAAAUUCAAAAA
rnacentral:sRNA from 1 species